rnacentral:rRNA from 1 species
GGCAGAGGGUGCAAACGUUGCUCGGAAUCACUGGGCGUAAAGGGCGUGUAGGCGGGUAGAUAAGUCGGGCGUGAAAUCCCUAGGCUCAACCUAGGAACUGCACUCGAAACUGUUUAUCUUGAGUGCCGGAGAGGAAAGCGGAAUUCCUGGUGUAGAGGUGAAAUUCGUAGAUAUCAGGAGGAACACCAGUGGCGAAGGCGGCUUUCUGGACGG